UCCUUCCUUUUUUCGUUUGAUUGCCGCGUCGGAGACUAGUUUCUAGUGCUUGAUCUGGAGCACUUGGUGCUCAUCUUUAGUGGCUUCUUACAACAGCUUAGGCUGCUCCGCUGCUGAUUGUUCUGAUUGAAGGGCGGCCCUUUUCCUCCCUUCAAUGAUGUCGAAAGGGAGGCAGGUCUGGUUUCGUCCCAACGUCCGUCUCUUCUCCUUCCAGUCAACGACAAAGCAACAACGAGAUCCCCUUGCAAGUUGUUUGUCCCCGGUGAGGGGUGGUGUUGGUAUACUGAUGAAGCUUGAUGAUGGUGGAUAAUGGUUCACAUUGCAAUCUUCAUCUUGCGUCGAGGGUCUUUUCUUUAAAGGUUUUGGACUGAGUUGUAAUUUUGCAUUCCAUUGGGGUCCUUUCUCAGCUUUCCGGCAAUGCAAAUCUUAAGGCAGCUGUUCGAGGUCCUUCUGGACCGUUUAAAAAAAACAGUAUUCAGCAUUUUUCACACGCACGGUUGCCAGAGCGAGAGCUCCACUGCCUGGAGUUCACCAUAAAACGCUCCCCCAAGGCCUUCAGUCAACGUCGCCGCUAAUCUUGGUUGCAGCGUUUUUGCUUGCAAUCAUCUCUCUGAAUCUUCAGUCUCCACAGAUCUCUGAGAUUCUAGGCGUUGCGGCUGUGUUCUUCGCGCACCUAUUUUUCAUCCGCUUUACAUCCGUGCUGCACAGGCGCUGUGGAGGAUGAAUCACAGGUCAGCAAUUGACGUGGUGGCAGAGUAGCGCAGCAUCGCUCCCUCAGGUGCACAGGAAGAACUUCGAACCGGUAGCAGCAAGCCAACACGAUGAUGGAGAUCGAGUACUGCUACUAUACUACUAGCACAUGCAGGAGUGCUUCUGUUUCCCAGCUACUAGUACCUAUAUGUUGCUCUUGUGAACAAAUAAUAAGAGAUGGACAUGUCGUGUGAUGUGUAGUUAUCUAUCUAGUAGUACUCCUUGUAAGCUUGAUUCAAUGCUGUAACUACGGCAGCAGUUUGGUACUUUGGUUACUCUGAAGUCUGAACCGGACUUGUGGCUGUGCGCAUACUAUAUAACUUGACGUACACGCUGUGAUGAAGGGUUUCCAUUCUAUGUAACCAUAUGUCAUUUCAA